rnacentral:rRNA from 1 species
CUCGGUGAGCUUACCCAAGUGGUCACACCCGUUCCCAUUCCGAACACGGCCGUUAAGCACUUGGAGCCGAUGGUAGUGGCUUCUGCCGCGAGAGUAGGUCAUCGCCGGGA